CAGUAGCCGCGGGAAUACGGAGGGUGCAAGCGUUAAUCGGAAUUACUGGGCGUAAAGCGCACGCAGGCGGUUUGUUAAGUCAGAUGUGAAAUCCCCGGGCUCAACCUGGGAACUGCAUUUGAAACUGGCAAGCUAGAGUCUCGUAGAGGGGGGUAGAAUUCCAGGUGUAGCGGUGAAAUGCGUAGAGAUCUGGAGGAAUACCGGUGGCGAAGGCGGCCCCCUGGACGAAGACUGACGCUCAGGUGCGAAAGCGUGGGGAGCAAACAGGAUUAGAUACCCCAGUAGUCCCUGUCUCUUAUAC
rnacentral:rRNA from 1 species